UGGGGAAUUUUGGACAAUGGGCGAAAGCCUGAUCCAGCAAUGCCGCGUGUGUGAAGAAGGCCUUCGGGUUAUAAAGCACUUUUGUCCGGAAAGAAAUCCUCUGGGUUAAUACCUCGGGGGGAUGACGGUACCGGAAGAAUAAGCACCGGCUAACUACGUGCCAGCAGCCGCGGUAAUACGUAGGGUGCAAGCGUUAAUCGGAAUUACUGGGCGUAAAGCGUGCGCAGGCGGUUUUGUAAGACGGAUGUGAAAUCCCCGGGCUUAACCUGGGAACUGCAUUCGUGACUGCAAGGCUAGAGUAUGGCAGAGGGGGGUUAGAAUUCCACGUGUAGCAGUGAAAUGCGUAGAGAUGUGGAGGAAUACCGAUGGCGAAGGCAGCCCCCUGGGCCAAUACUGACGCUCAUGCACGAAAGCGUGGGGAGCAAACAGGAUUCAGAUACCCUGGUAGUCCACGCCCUAAACGAUGUCAACUAGUUGUUGGGGAUUCAUUUCCUUAGUAACGUAGCUAACGCGUGAAGUUGACCGCCUGGGGAGUACGGUCGCAAGACUGAAACUCAAAUGAAUUGACGGGGUCAUAGCUGUUUCCU
rnacentral:rRNA from 1 species